UACGUAGGGGGCAAGCGUUGUCCGGAUUUAUUGGGCGUAAAGAGCUCGUAGGUGGUUCGGUAAGUCGGAUGUGAAAUCUCCAGGCUCAACCUGGAGGGGUCAUUCGAUACUGCCGUGACUAGAGGUCGGUAGGGGAGUGUGGAAUUCCUGGUGGAGCGGUGAAAUGCGCAGAUAUCGGGAAGAACACCCGUGGCGAAGGCGGCUCUCUGGGACGGUACUGACGCUGAGACGCGAAAGCGUGGGGAGCGAACAGG
rnacentral:rRNA from 1 species